rnacentral:tRNA from 1 species
GGCCCGUUCGUCUAGCGGUUAGGACUCCGGCCUCUCACGCCGGCAACAGGGGUUCGAGUCCCCUACGGGUCACCA